rnacentral:rRNA from 1 species
UUGAUGGAGAAUUUGAUCCUGGUUCAGAACGAACGUUGGCGGCGUGGAUGAGGCAUGCAAGUCGAUCGGUAAGGCCCCUUCGGGGGUACACGAGAGGCGGAAGGGUGAGUAAUAACUGGUUAAUCUACCCUUGAGUGGGGGAUAACCCUGGGAAACCGGGGCUAAUACCGCAUAAGACCACAGGGAGGCAUCUCCCAGAGGUCAAAGCCUUCGGGCGCUCGAGGAGGAGACCAGUCCGUAUCAGGUAGUUGGCGGGGUAACGGCCCACCAAGCCUGCGACGCGUAGCCGGCCUGAGAGGGUGGCCGGCCACACUGGGACUGAGACACUGCCCAGACUCCUACGGGAGGCUGCAGUCGAGAAUCAUUGUCAAUGGGGGAAACCCUGAACGUGCGACGCCUCGUGGGCGUGACCCUCAGCGACGAGGGAUACGACGUCGCCGUCGCUUCCGACGGCGAAGAGGCACUGCGCAUGAUCUCGGAGACAUCCCC